UAACUUCGGAGUUGUUUGGCAACUUCUGAAUAGGUAAGUGCUAAACCAAUAAGAGGUCUGAACCUUUAAGAGCCAGUAUAAUGCUUAACCAUUCAGAGGCAAAUGUCUGACCAAUUCAGAUAAGAGAUCUUAACCAUUCAGACUCAGUAUAAUGCUUAACCAUUCAGAGCCAAAUGUUUGAAGCAUUCAGAUAUUUGCUUGCGAAACAAAAAGGAAACAAACAGUCUAAAAUCAUUAAGUGUCUGUACCAUUAAGAGCAUGUUAGGAACUGAAACAAACAACCCCGAAUUCUUAAAGAUUCUCAUAACCCUAAAUUUAUAUCUUUAUAUUGGGCAGUGAAAUUGAAUUUUAGCAGUGGCGAAGCUUGAUCCGAAUUACGGGGGGUCGA
rnacentral:lncRNA from 1 species